UACGUAGGGUGCAAGCGUUAAUCGGAAUUACUGGGCGUAAAGCGUGCGCAGGCGGUCUCGCAAGACAGAUGUGAAAUCCCCGGGCUCAACCUGGGAACUGCAUUUGUGACUGCAAGGCUGGAGUACGGUAGAGGGGGAUGGAAUUCCGCGUGUAGCAGUGAAAUGCGUAGAGAUGCGGAGGAACACCGAUGGCGAAGGCAGCCCCCUGGGCUAGCACUGACGCUCAGGCACGAAAGCGUGGGGAGCAAACAGG
rnacentral:rRNA from 1 species